UACGUAGGAGACGAGCGUUGUCCGGAGUUACUGGGCGUAAAGGGUGCGCAGGUGGCGGCGCGCGUGGGGGGUGAAAUCCCUCGGCUUAACCGGGGAACUGCGUCCGAUACUGGAUGGCUUGAGUUCGGGAGAGGGAUGCGGAAUUCCAGGUGUAGCGGUGAAAUGCGUAGAUAUCAGGAGGAACACCGGUGGCGAAGGCGGGUCUCUGGGCCGUAACUGACGCUGAGGAGCGAAAGCAUGGGGAGCGAACAGG
rnacentral:rRNA from 1 species